GACGAACGCUGGCGGCGCGCUUAACACAUGCAAGUCGAGCGAGAACCAGGGCUUCGGCCCUGGGGACAGCGGCGAACGGGUGAGUAACACGUGGAUAACCUGCCCUCGGCACCGGGAUAGCCCGGGGAAACCCGGAUUAAUACCGGAUGGCCCUUCCGGCUUUCGAGCUGGUCGGAAAAGGUAGCUUCGGCCUCCGGCCGAGGAUGGGUCCGCGGCGGAUUAGCUUGGUGGUGGGGUAACGGCCUACCAAGGCGAAGAUCCGUAGCUGGUCUGAGAGGACGAUCAGCCACACUGGGACUGAGACACGGCCCAGACUCCUACGGGAGGCAGCAGUGGGGAAUCUUGCGCAAUGGGCGAAGGCCUGACGCAGCGACGCCGCGUGAGGGAGGAAGGCCUUCGGGUUGUAAACCUCUUUCAGGAGGGACGAAGCUACUCGGGUGAAUAGCCCAGAGGGUGACGGUACCUCCAGAAGAAGCCCCGGCUAACUACGUGCCAGCAGCCGCGGUAAUAC
rnacentral:rRNA from 1 species